rnacentral:rRNA from 1 species
GACGAACGCUGGCGGCGUGCUUAACACAUGCAAGUCAAACGGAAAGGCCCUGCUUUUGUGGGGUGCUCGAGUGGCGAACGGGUGAGUAACACGUGAGUAACCUGCCCUUGACUUUGGGAUAACUUCAGGAAACUGGGGCUAAUACCGGAUAGGAGCUCCUGCUGCAUGGUGGGGGUUGGAAAGUUUCGGCGGUUGGGGAUGGACUCGCGGCUUAUCAGCUUGUUGGUGGGGUAGUGGCUUACCAAGGCUUUGACGGGUAGCCGGCCUGAGAGGGUGACCGGCCACAUUGGGACUGAGAUACGGCCCAGACUCCUACGGGAGGCAGCAGUGGGGAAUACUGCACAAUGGGCGGAAGCCUGAUGCAGCAACGCCGCGUGCGGGAUGACGGCCUUCGGGUUGUAAACCGCUUUCGCCUGUGACGAAGCGUGAGUGACGGUAAUGGGUAAAGAAGCACCGGCUAACUACGUG